AACGCACAUUGCGCUCUUUGGUAUUCCGGAGAGCAUGCCUGUUUGAGAAUCAGUAAAUUCAUCAACCUGGUUUCCUUGGAACUUCGGGGAAGAGGAUCUCGGGUUGGAUAUGGGCUUUUUGCGGCCUUAAACAGCCGCAAUGGCCUGAAAUUCAAUGUUACGCACCCUUAGACUUGACAGGUCUUGGGCAGACGCAUGAAUGGGGAAACUCACAAAUACGACUGUCUGGUAUCGGUCAUUUGGUCUCUGAGUGUUUGACUCAACUAUUACACAGAGUCGGCGGGCGCUAGCACGCUUUCUUUGAACACUUGGUCUCAAAUCAGGUAGGAAAACCCGCUGAACUUAA
rnacentral:misc_RNA from 1 species